rnacentral:misc_RNA from 1 species
AACGCACCUUGCGCUCCUUGGUAUUCCGAGGAGCAUGCCUGUUUGAGUGUCAUGGAAUUCUCAACCUUUGAAAGCUUUAUUGGUUUCCAAAGGCUUGGACUUGGAGGUCGUGUCGGCUCUGCAAAGAAUCGACUCCUCUGAAACGUAUCAGUGCGAACCUUUACGGAUCGUCUUCGGUGUGAUAAACGUCUACGCCGUGGUCGUGAAGUAUGAUCGUGUUCGUGCUUCUAACCGUCUCCUUUGCGAGACAAAAACUGUGUUACUAAGUAACAUGGACAUUGACAAUCUGACCUCAAAUCAGGUAGGACUACCCGCUGAGCUUAA